rnacentral:rRNA from 1 species
UUAAGCGACUAAGCGUACACGGUGGAUGCCCUGGCAGUCAGAGGCGAUGAAGGACGUGCUAAUCUGCGAUAAGCGUCGGUAAGGUGAUAUGAACCGUUAUAACCGGCGAUUUCCGAAUGGGGAAACCCAGUGUGAUUCGUCACACUAUCAUUAACUGAAUCCAUAGGUUAAUGAGGCGAACCGGGGGAACUGAAACAUCUAAGUACCCCGAGGAAAAGAAAUCAACCGAGAUUCCCCCAGUAGCGGCGAGCGAACGGGGAGGAGCCCAGAGCCUGAAUCAGUGUGUGUGUUAGUGGAAGCGUCUGGAAAGGCGCGCGAUACAGGGUGACAGCCCCGUACACAAAAAUGCACAUGCUGUGAGCUCGAUGAGUAGGGCGGGACACGUGGUAUCCUGUCUGAAUAUGGGGGGACCAUCCUCCAAGGCUAAAUACUCCUGACUGACCGAUAGUGAACCAGUACCGUGAGGGAAAGGCGAAAAGAACCCCGGCGAGGGGAGUGAAAAAGAACCUGAAACCGUGUACGUACAAGCAGUGGGAGCCUCUUUAUGGGGUGACUGCGUACCUUUUGUAUAAUGGGUCAGCGACUUAUAUUCUGUAGCAAGGUUAACCGAAUAGGGGAGCCGAAGGGAAACCGAGUCUUAACUGGGCGUUAAGUUGCAGGGUAUAGACCCGAAACCCGGUGAUCUAGCCAUGGGCAGGUUGAAGGUUGGGUAACACUAACUGGAGGACCGAACCGACUAAUGUUGAAAAAUUAGCGGAUGACUUGUGGCUGGGGGUGAAAGGCCAAUCAAACCGGGAGAUAGCUGGUUCUCCCCGAAAGCUAUUUAGGUAGCGCCUCGUGAAUUCAUCUCCGGGGGUAGAGCACUGUUUCGGCAAGGGGGUCAUCCCGACUUACCAACCCGAUGCAAACUGCGAAUACCGGAGAAUGUUAUCACGGGAGACACACGGCGGGUGCUAACGUCCGUCGUGAAGAGGGAAACAACCCAGACCGCCAGCUAAGGUCCCAAAGUCAUGGUUAAGUGGGAAACGAUGUGGGAAGGCCCAGACAGCCAGGAUGUUGGCUUAGAAGCAGCCAUCAUUUAAAGAAAGCGUAAUAGCUCACUGGUCGAGUCGGCCUGCGCGGAAGAUGUAACGGGGCUAAACCAUGCACCGAAGCUGCGGCAGCGACGCUUAUGCGUUGUUGGGUAGGGGAGCGUUCUGUAAGCCUGCGAAGGUGUACUGUGAGGUAUGCUGGAGGUAUCAGAAGUGCGAAUGCUGACAUAAGUAACGAUAAAGCGGGUGAAAAGCCCGCUCGCCGGAAGACCAAGGGUUCCUGUCCAACGUUAAUCGGGGCAGGGUGAGUCGACCCCUAAGGCGAGGCCGAAAGGCGUAGUCGAUGGGAAACAGGUUAAUAUUCCUGUACUUGGUGUUACUGCGAAGGGGGGACGGAGAAGGCUAUGUUGGCCGGGCGACGGUUGUCCCGGUUUAAGCGUGUAGGCUGGUUUUCCAGGCAAAUCCGGAAAAUCAAGGCUGAGGCGUGAUGACGAGGCACUACGGUGCUGAAGCAACAAAUGCCCUGCUUCCAGGAAAAGCCUCUAAGCAUCAGGUAACAUCAAAUCGUACCCCAAACCGACACAGGUGGUCAGGUAGAGAAUACCAAGGCGCUUGAGAGAACUCGGGUGAAGGAACUAGGCAAAAUGGUGCCGUAACUUCGGGAGAAGGCACGCUGAUACGUAGGUGAAGUCCCUUGCGGAUGGAGCUGAAAUCAGUCGAAGAUACCAGCUGGCUGCAACUGUUUAUUAAAAACACAGCACUGUGCAAACACGAAAGUGGACGUAUACGGUGUGACGCCUGCCCGGUGCCGGAAGGUUAAUUGAUGGGGUUAGCGGUAACGCGAAGCUCUUGAUCGAAGCCCCGGUAAACGGCGGCCGUAACUAUAACGGUCCUAAGGUAGCGAAAUUCCUUGUCGGGUAAGUUCCGACCUGCACGAAUGGCGUAAUGAUGGCCAGGCUGUCUCCACCCGAGACUCAGUGAAAUUGAACUCGCUGUGAAGAUGCAGUGUACCCGCGGCAAGACGGAAAGACCCCGUGAACCUUUACUAUAGCUUGACACUGAACAUUGAGCCUUGAUGUGUAGGAUAGGUGGGAGGCUUUGAAGUGUGGACGCCAGUCUGCAUGGAGCCGACCUUGAAAUACCACCCUUUAAUGUUUGAUGUUCUAACGUUGGCCCCUGAUCGGGGUUGCGGACAGUGUCUGGUGGGUAGUUUGACUGGGGCGGUCUCCUCCUAAAGAGUAACGGAGGAGCACGAAGGUUGGCUAAUCCUGGUCGGACAUCAGGAGGUUAGUGCAAUGGCAUAAGCCAGCUUGACUGCGAGCGUGACGGCGCGAGCAGGUGCGAAAGCAGGUCAUAGUGAUCCGGUGGUUCUGAAUGGAAGGGCCAUCGCUCAACGGAUAAAAGGUACUCCGGGGAUAACAGGCUGAUACCGCCCAAGAGUUCAUAUCGACGGCGGUGUUUGGCACCUCGAUGUCGGCUCAUCACAUCCUGGGGCUGAAGUAGGUCCCAAGGGUAUGGCUGUUCGCCAUUUAAAGUGGUACGCGAGCUGGGUUUAGAACGUCGUGAGACAGUUCGGUCCCUAUCUGCCGUGGGCGCUGGAGAACUGAGGGGGGCUGCUCCUAGUACGAGAGGACCGGAGUGGACGCAUCACUGGUGUUCGGGUUGUCAUGCCAAUGGCACUGCCCGGUAGCUAAAUGCGGAAGAGAUAAGUGCUGAAAGCAUCUAAGCACGAAACUUGCCCCGAGAUGAGUUCUCCCUGACCCUUUAAGGGUCCUGAAGGAACGUUGAAGACGACGACGUUGAUAGGCCGGGUGUGUAAGCGCAGCGAUGCGUUGAGCUAACCGGUACUAAUGAACCGUGAGGCUUAACCUU